GUGUGUUCAGACCAAACGCGAAUGGCGCGUCAAGCGCGAGUGAUUUACAUGUUAAGUCAAUGCAAAGACGCGAUAGACCUACUUGCGGCGCGAAUCGCGCGAAUGAGGCGGCGCGAAUGACGCGAAUUGCGCGAAUGAGGCGGCGCGAAUGAAGCGAAUUGCGCGAAUGACGCGAAUUGCGCGGAUGACGCGAAUCGCGCGAAUUGAGCGUUCGCGUGAUUCGCGCGAUACGCGCGUUUCGCGCGAUUCGCUCGAGUUGAAAAAUCUGAACUUUGGCGAAAAUUCGCGCCGCGUUAACCAAUCAGUAGCUUGCUCUAGCAGUCAGGUGAUUAUGAUGUUGCGAGGGGACGCAGAAAUCUCAACAACAAUGGAGGACAAAAUCACCGUUGCUUUAUGUGGAUACCUGGAGCUGUACGAUACAUCUUACUUUUAUCGAAACUGAAAUAAAAAGGAUUUUGCGUGGAAGAAAAGGCAACGCAAAAGAACUUUGAAGGCGGUGGUGUGGAAUACCUUAUCACAUUAGUCCUGAAAUGUGCCCCACACAGGAAUUUAAAAUGGACACGCUGGAGGGACUAUGUCUCCGGCUGGUCUUGGAACGCUUCCGUGUCCCCCCGGAAGAGCUGGAGGAAGUGUCUAGGGAGAGGGAAGU